AUCAAAUUAUUAUGUUCUCAAUGAUGCAUUAGUUCUGGCCAUCAAAUUACUGAUCUUACUCUAAAUAGUGAAAAAAAAUUUCAUCAGAUUUGGAUUGUUUUACACCGUUAAAUUCACAAACGUAUCAUAUCGACCAUUAAAAUUGUCAACUUUGAGAACUUUUGAUCACUAGCCAAAUAAUGUCGAAAAAUUAUGAAAUUUAAUUUCCAAAUACUUUCAAUAGUGUAGAUCAAAGUCUAACGGAACCGAUCGUCGAUUUGGAAGCCGCAUCAUUGAAAACAACUUGAUAGCACGAAGGCCUCCGUGCUACCGAUAGUAUACCAACCUAGCGCUAUACUAUAGUCCCGUUUUCGAUCUUAGAGUGUUCAAAUCAACGAUCUACAUUGUUUACUGAUCUAGGAUAUUUAAAGUUUUUAAAAAUAAAUUUUUAUAUUUUUUCGACAUAGUUUACUUUAUGAUCAAAUCAUUUCAAAAUUGUCAAUUUUCAAUGGCUACUAUGGCGAGUUUGGAGUUUAACGGUGUAGAAGAAUUUAAAUUUCUUCAAAUUUUGAUAGAAAAUACUUUAAACUAUCUAGAUUAAGGUUAACAUUCUUGGUCUUGAAUUUAAAAGUCCUAUGCUCAAAUUUUAAAUAUUAUUCAAUUUCUACCACCCAUUUUGACAUAAUUUAUUUACUAAGUAAACGAUGUCGAAAAAACUAAAAUUUUAUUCCUAAGAACUUCAUAUAACCUAGAUCAUAUUGAACGAUGUGGAUCGUUAAUUUGAACACCCUAAGAUCGAAAAUAAGACUAUAAUACCAAAACUCCGGUACUAUAGAUAGUAUAGUAGCCUAAUUAUAUAUAUAUAGAGAAAGAGUUGAGCUAGAAUACUAUCGAUAGCAAACGGGCUCCGUUGCCACCCAUUUAUUUUCGAUGAUGAAGUCUCCAAAUCGACGAUCGGCACCGUUGAACAUGAUCUACACCACUUGAAAUGUUUAGAAAUCAAAUUUCAAAUCUUUUCGACAUUAUUUGCCUAAUGAUCAAAUGGUUUCAAAAUUUAUAAUUUUAAUGGUCGAUAUGAGGCAUUUUCUCGUUUAACGGCGUAAAGAUAUCCAAAUCAAUUGAAUUUUUGUUAGAAAAUUCUUUAAACUAUUUAAAACAAGAUCUAUAUUCUUGAUCUUGAUUACAAGACUCCUAUCAUCAUUUUUUAAAGAAUAUUCAUUUUCAGCCGUUCAUUUUUGUGUCCACUCGAUGGAUAAGAGAAUAAUAUCGAAAAUGUAUAAAAUUUGAUUUCUAAACACUUCAAAUGGUAUAGAUCAUGUUCAACGGUGCCGAUCGUCGAUUUAGAGGCCCUAUCAUCGAAAACAAAUGAAUGCCAACGGAGUCCGUUUGCAAUCGAUAGUAUUUUAGCUCAACUCAUAUUUUCAAUUUUGCCAUCACAAAUGUCCCUUCAAAAGUCAUAACAGUAUAAUAUAAGAGAGGUAAAAAUGUCAAAAAUUAACCAGAGUUAAGUAUUUAAUCUAUGAUUAACUAAAUUUUUCUAACAGAUUUUACUAGUAGGGACAUAUUUAAAAACAUCAUGAUUUUUACAGGAACAACACAUGAAAGUUGAGCUUUGUAGGAGUAUAUUUGUCAUUUACUAUAUUUGUAAGGACUUGUAUGAAAUUAACUCUAAAUAAUUAAAAAAAGAGCAAUGCUCCUAUACACCAAACAAAUCUUAACUCUUAAAUUUUUUAAAAUAAACAGCAGUGAUGCAUCUUUUUAAAAGGAGGUGACUAGCUCUUGUCCUCCCUUACCGGGGGCAAAAACUUUUCUCAUUACAUGGAGUUUGUGCAAGGGCAUUUUGGUAAAUUCUCACCCUCAUAAUAUAUCCUCUUUGUAAAAUCAGAAUAUUCCAUCUUCCUCGAUUCUUAUACUUCAAUAUUCCAUCUUUGAAUUAAUAAUUACCUUUCCUAAAUUAGCGUUUUUUUACUAAUGUAUCAUAUUCAAAUUCAAAAUAUAAAAUGAUGCUACUAAUGUAUCAUAUUCAAAUUCAAAAUAUAAAAUGAUGCAUUAUUGAAAGGC
rnacentral:lncRNA from 1 species